rnacentral:rRNA from 1 species
GACAGAGGGUGCAAACGUUGUUCGGAUUUACUGGGCGUAAAGCGUGUGUAGGCGGCUUGGCAAGUUGGAUGUGAAAGCCCACGGCUCAACCGUGGAAGCGCACCCAAAACUGCUUCGCUCGAGUCUCGGAGAGGAAGGUGGAAUGCUUGGUGUAGAGGUGAAAUUCGUAGAUAUCAAGCAGAACACCUGCGGUGAAGGCGGCCUUCUGGACGAUGACUGACGCUGAGACACGAAAGCGUGGGGAGCAAAAAGG